ensembl:lncRNA
GGUCUAUAGGGAUGAGGUGAUGAUAGAGGUGUAAUGCUGAUGUAGGUCUAUAGGGAUGAGGUGAUGAUAGAGGUGUAAUGCUGAUGUGGGUCUAUAGGGAUGAGGUGAUGAUAGAGGUGUAAUGCUGAUGUAGGUCUAUAGGGAUGAGGUGAGGAUAUAGGUGUAAUUCUGAUGUACUGUAGGUCUAUAGGGAUGAGGUGAUGAUAGAGGUGUAAUUCUGAUGUACUGUAGGUCUAUAGGGAUGAGGUGAUGAUAGAGGUGUAAUUCUGAUGUACUGUAGGUCUAUAGGGAUGAGGUUAUGAUAGAGGUGUAAUGCAGAUGUAGGUCUAUAUGGAUGAGGGGAGGAUAGAGGUUAAAUUCUGAUGUACUGUAGGUCUAUAGGGAUGAGGUGAUGAUAGAGGUGUAAUGCUGAUGUAGGUCUAUAGGGAUGAGGUGAUGAUAGAGUUGUAAUUCUGAUGUACUGUAGGUCUAUAGGGAUGAGGUGAUGAAAUAUGUGUAAUUCUGACAUACUGUAGGUCUAUAGGGAUGAGGUGAUGAUAGAGGUGUAAUGCUGAUGUAGGUCUAUAGGGAUGAUUGGAGGAUAGAGGUGUAAUUUGGGUGUACUGUAGGUCUAUAGGGAUGAGGUGAUGAUAGAGGUGUAAUGCUGAUGUAGGUCUAUAGCAUGGGUGUCA